AAAGCACUGUAGGAGGGGAAAGACAGAGAGAGUCAGAUGAGGGGAAGGAAAUUCGUUGGGUCUGCCCAGCCUAUAUUGUGAUUAUUUGAGAACAGCCCCUCCCACCAGAGUUGGUGCUCCAUAAAUGGCAGUUAUUAUUCUUGCUUUUUUUGUGAUUGCUGUUUAUGAGUUUCUGUUUUUGAGCCAUAUCAGUGCCCUUAACAUCUCCUUCUGUGUCCGAGCCAGAUGAUUGGAUCUUUUCCCCAAUCUCUACCCUCCUGUAACAGGAUUCUAGAUCCACAUUCUUUUCCAUGUAAAGUGCAUUUCCUCCCACCGUGGGCAGAGUGUGCUUUCUACAUGACUUGGUUUGGCCAAUGAAAUGUCAUCAGUCAUGACAUUUACUUAUGGUCUGGCUUAUUCUCUUACAUUCCUGAUAAUGUCUAUUGAACAUGUGUGUGCUGGGCAUUGAGCUAAAUGUUCUUACUGGAUCAUCACAACUGUGUAAGGCAGGUACUAUUUUCAUGCCAGUUUUUAGAUUAAAAACUGAGGCCUAGAGAGAUAAUUAACUUGCCCCAAGUCACACUGUAAUGGACCCAGGACUGAACCCAGGCAGUCAGCUUGCCUGACCAUGUCGCUUCACCAUGCUGCCUCACCGCUGGAGGAAGGUGGUAGAAAUUCCUUCUGCCCAAAGACACAAAAGGCAAGUGUGAAGAUUACACAUCUCUGCUCACUCCCCUUGCCACAGAGAGAAGAAACAUGACUAGUGGAGUCAAUGCGGCAGUGAGCAGCAGGGAUCCUGUCAUUUCUGAGCUGAAGCAUUUCAAUGUUUGUUUAGAACCCUCCACCAUUCUCGCCUGCCACAUGGACUGAGGAGGCUUUGUGUUCCAGAUGGCAAAGCCACAGGGUGGUGGUGUCUCUGUCUGUGUGGAUCGCUGAGCCAGGCCAUGAAGUGAAGCUGCCUUAGAAGUUACCCAGGCCUGCAGCAGGAGCUGAAAUUCAACAUAUUGCCCUAAGAAGCAUCCAAAGCAAUUGUGUAUCUGCAGAUGCUUAUUGUGUCUACUGGGAGAUGGGGUGAGAGUGGAGGCUUUUCUUCCUGUUGAAAGAAGAAAGAAGGUUGUUGGCAUCUGGACUCAUGGAGGAACCUGGAGGAAGAUGAUUGGAUC
rnacentral:lncRNA from 1 species